rnacentral:lncRNA from 1 species
AACACCAGGGGUUUGGUCUGGGUCUUGGUGAAGCAUUGAAAUCCAAUCACUGGGACAAUCAGUAUUGCCAGGGGAGAAAGGUGACAACAGCCAGAGAGAAAGGAGCCAAAUCUCAAAUCUGUCUCUCCCAGCCAACUAAAAUUGGGAGUUUGUAUAGUGGGGAAAUGAAUGCAGUAGCUAUAUGGUGGAUGUCAGGACUUAGGGAAGGGUAAGGAAGCAAUAAUGAUGAUUGAGAGUUCUGGCAUCUCAUUGUCUGGAUGCAGUGAUCUGGUGAGUUUCAGUUCCUUGAUACUGAGAGGCAUGAGGGUCGGUUUCCUGAGGAAAAAACUCAGAUAAGAGAAAGAUCUGGGAGAAGAAAUAUAGAAGAUAAAUCUGGAACACUGUGUGACACAAAAUAAGAAAACUGUGAAAGGAAAACGAGCCAUUGUCAAAAUGACACAUGAGCCAGCUUGAGUGGACUUUCACUAUCCAAAGGCUCGCUCAUGGACCAGUCAGCCUGCACUUCCUCUUCCCUGAGGCCCAUAAAAACCCAGGGCUCAGCCAAAGCUGGACAGAUGAUGGGACACCCAGCUGCAGAGAGGCACUACUGUCUCUGCUGAGAACUGAACACUCCUCAGGAUGACCAGCUGCGGAGAGGAGCUAAACACUUGUUGGGAUGAUCUGCCUGCAAAGAGGAGUUACCCUCGCUGCUUGGAGCCAAACACUCCACAGGACACCUUGGCUGUGGAAAGAGAGCUGCCCCCUGCAGGUCUCCUCUGAGCUGUUCUAUCGCUCAAUAAAGCUCCUCUUCCUCUUGCUCACUUUUCACUUGUCUGCAUACCUCGUUCUUCCUGGUCCCAGGACAAGAACUCAGACCUGUUGAACGGCAAGGCUAAAAGAGCUAUAAAAAACAGGGUGUGAAACAUGCCCAUUGUUCACCACAUUUCAGGAAAAGAGAGGGAGAGAAGAGCUGUGGCCCUGUGAGGAGCCCUGACCUGGGAGCUCCCUGAGCCUGGGCUGUGAAUCACUCUUUGGGGCCCUGAAGUUCCUGGCAUCUCCAAGCUUCUGGGUGCCACUGCAUUCUCCAAACUUCUGAGUGCCACUGCAUUCUCCAAGCUUCGGGGUGCCACUGCAUUCCCCAGUGCUAGCCGUGGUAGCUGCUUGCUGUGUACCUGAUCCUGCCACAGCCUCACAGAUAGCCAGUGUCCGGGAUGGCACCUGGAGCUGUCCAACCCGCUGCAGCAGCCAGCAUGUCUGACUGUGCACAGUGGCCAGACCCCACGCUCACUCACACACUCCUUGCUGCUCCACGCCUGACUUGCCCUUGAUAGGCAUAGGAUCCAGGCUCUGGACAGGCAUGAAAUCCAGGCUGGUAGCAUGAGCCAAGUGUAGCCUGUCAGGCCAAGUGGGCAAAAUGAGCCCAGUGGGCCUGAGCAAAAUUUGGGCAAAGGUACCACCAGCCACAGGACUCUGGCCAGAAAAGCAAUACUCCAAGUAUCCCGUAACAAUAGGUGUGUGUUUAAUAUUUUCAGAACCUUUCAAUUGUUUUCCAAAAUGUUUGGACUAUUUUACAUUCACAUCAGUGGUAUAAAGAGCUCAAGCUCCUACACAUCCUCAC